rnacentral:rRNA from 1 species
CGCAAUGGGCGAAAGCCUGACGGAGCGACGCCGCGUGAUUGAUGAAGCUCUUCGGAGUGUAAGGUCUUUUAUGAGGGAAGAAAUUUUUGACGGUACCUCAGGAAUAAGGGGCUCCUAAUCUCGUGCCAGCAGGAGCGGUAAUACGAGAGCCCCAAGCGUUAUCCGGAAUCACUGGGCGUAAAGGGUGCGUAGGUUGUUAUGUUAGUCUUUCGUCAAAUCUCCGAGCUUAACUUGGAAACUGCGAAAGAAACGGCAUAACUAGAGAAUGUGAGAGGUGAACGGAACUCAUGGUGUAGGGGUGAAAUCCGUUGAUAUCAUGGGGAACACCAAAAGCGAAGGCAGUUCACUGGCACAUAUCUGACGCUCAAGCACGAAAGCGU